ACUCCUACGGGAGGCAGCAGUGGGGAAUAUUGCACAAUGGGCGCAAGCCUGAUGCAGCGACGCCGCGUGGGGGAUGAAGGCCUUCGGGUUGUAAACUCCUUUCAACCAUGACGAAGCGUAAGUGACGGUAGUGGUAGAAGAAGCACCGGCUAACUACGUGCCAGCAGCCGCGGUAAU
rnacentral:rRNA from 1 species